CCCGGCUGGCCCGUUAUCAAGGUCUGCCUUGUGCGGUUAUCUCGUGUUCCCCCUUUCACUUUCUCCACAUUGCCCCUUUCCUAUUUAUUGCCGAGGACGAAAACGUAACUGAGCUACAGGUCACUACGUUUUUAGUACUUUGGAAAACGAACAGUUUCUCAACUUGUCCCGAGGGUAGCAUCAAUUCCCUUUUCGAGUUGUCGAUAGCUAUUACCGAACUUGUUGUUAGUUAUUUCUUUUUUUUUUUUUUUUCAAACAUUUCAGUUUGUGCAAUAUGUAACAUUUCCUCAAACAUUAAUUCUAAACUGGUAAAGAUACUGUGUGAUCUUAGGACUACGGAGUGAUGAAGCUGUUGUUUUGCUUGUCUUUCUAUUUGGGUCUGUCAGAUGUGUUUUGGCAUUUUACUAUGAUCAGUGGUUGUGAUGGAUCUUUUUUGUCAGUUUGUCCCACCCUGCUUAUAACCCCGACCCACUCGUUCUCCAGCCAGGCAGGCCAAAGCACGCUGAAACGCGUAUUUCCUUUGCUUCUUCAAGAACCUUGGCCGUACCCAUAAACCAAGGCAACUAUAAAGCUGACGCCCUUGCAAGAAAAGGACCCGAGCCCUUCUGUGGCACACACAGGAUUCUUAACAGUAUAAUGCAAACUAAAUGGACAUCUGAAGAAGAUUGGUGUAACACAACGCGGCAAAUGCAGAUUCUGGAAAGAAGCUAAGGAAACAUCAACACAACUACUAAUAAACUGUGGAGCCACACUUGUCCGCAGAAGAGAUUUAAAUAUUUUAAAAUACGAUUUUAAAGUUUUCCUAAUUUUUUAUUUUGUUCUUCUACACUUUCUCCUUCGGCAUUUGUAUAUUUCAUGUACACGUAAGAAUUUGUUCUUAAGAUCCUAAGAUAGUACUCAAAGGAAAAGACGUUUAGGUACAAAACUAAAUUCAUUACGUCUGUUUCGAAAUGCUAUAUGACGUCUCUAAAGAACAUAGACAGAAAAUUUAGUUUCAUUCUUAUUCUGUAAGUCUUUUACU